rnacentral:rRNA from 1 species
AAUCAGACUUGGUGCUGUUGUUCAACUAUGUUUCGGCAUAGUGUACUCAGCAGUACUAGGCCAAGGUGGGGUGUUUGGGAGUGAAAAAGAAGUAGGAACGUAACUCUUCGGAGUGUUAUAGCCUACUUUCAUAGCUCCUCAGGCGCCUCAGGACUGCGCUUCGGCAAGGACCUUGGCAUAAUGAUUCUAUACCGCCCGUCUUGA